rnacentral:lncRNA from 1 species
UGUGGAAGCUGGGAUUCCAAUGGCAGGCAGGAAAUCUUGUAGUAGGUGAUCGUGGCCUUCCUUGGGAUCCCUGUUUCCCCCUUUUAUUCCCUUUUCACCCAGUAAAACCCUGCUUUGCUCACUCUUUAAAGCAUCUGUGAGCGUAAAUUUUUGUGGCCAUGGGAUGGACAAGAACCACAUGUUUACCUGAAGUCCUGUGACAUUUUGGUGUGCAGCAUGGGAGCUCCAAAAGUGACAUUCUUUCAGAUGCCAGAGGAUGCUAUAGAAAAAUGCGUGCCCUCUUGUAAUACUUUGUUCAAGUUCUGAUCAGAAGGAUGAAUGAUGGAGCCCAAGAAGCCAGAGUCUCAUUGUGUUGCUCAGGCUGGAAUCCAGUGGCAUGAUCUCGGCUCAGUGCAACCUCCGCCUCCUGGGUUCAAGCAGUUCUCCUAGAUCAGCAUCAGCGUCCCGAGUAGCUGGGAUUACAGGCACCCGCCACCAUGCCUGGCUAAUGUUGGUCAGGCUGGCUCGAACUCCUGACCUCAAGAGAUCCACCUGCUUUGGCCUCCCAAAGUGCUCGGAUUACAGGCAUGAGCUGCCACACCCAGCCUCCAAAUACUUUUUUUUUAAAUCAAAAUAAUGAUUUCAAUGACUGAGAUCUGUUAUGUAUUUCAACAUAAUCAUGUUUCAUAAAGAUUUAGUCUUCUGAAA